GCCCUCUGGUUCCGUUUCCCAUUGAAUCUGAACACUGGUUUUAGUGGGAGUAAUAGAAAAAGUAAUACUGAAGCUGGCCUCAUGGUGCUUGUAGCCUACUCUAUAACAUGUGGUCUAGUUUCAAAUGAAG